rnacentral:lncRNA from 1 species
AUCAGAUGACCUGUGCGGGCGGCAGCCUCCUGCCCUCCUCCCCUUCGUGCGCCGGCUGGAGCGAAGAGUUCUUUUGACAGCCGUGAGCUUCCCCGCCAGGAACUUACUGGGGCUGCAUCACCCUAGAAACGUGGCUUUGGGCUGUGGAAACGCUGCCUCUGUGGAAGUCUCUCCUCGCGGGGGUGGACGGGUCGCUGCGCGCCCAGCGUUCUUCUGCGGUUCUCACAGCCCGCCGCCGCCGCCGCCUCGGGGACCUUUGCGGGGAGGCCUCAGGUACCAGUCAGGACUGGUAGACUUUAAUGUGGAGAACUUCUGAAACAGCAGUUCUCAAAAUGUUACCUCCAGACACACAGAAUCUGCAUCACCCAGGAACUUGUAACCAUGCAAAUUCUCAGCCACCCAGACUUCCUGCAUCAGAAACUCUGGGGCCCAGCAGCCUGUGUUUUAACAAAGCCCUUCAGGCUGGAGUAUAGUGGCAUGAUCAUAGAUCACUGCAGCCUCAAACUCCUGGGCUCAAGCGAUCCUCCCACCUCAGCCUCCAUAUAGCUGGUGGGGACCAAGUUUCUAACACAUGAAUGUUGGGAGACACAUUCAGACCAUCGCAGUGGCCUUAUAAAAAGAGACACAAGAGCUUGCUCUCUGCCAUGUGAGAAUACCACAAGAAGACUGUCCUCAGCAAAUCAGAAAGCGGGUGGACCCUCAUCAGACACCAGAUGUGCCUGCACCUUGAUCUUGGACUUGCCAGCCUUCAGAACAGUAAGAAAGAAAUGUGUGUUGUUUAAGCCACCCAGUCUAUGGUAACUUGCUAUAGCAGCCCACUAGGAGACCCCAAGAUAUUUAAAAACUCAUCAGCACCUGCUUUCUGCAUCUGGACCCUGAUCUUCUGGUGGGUUUACCAGUUACUUGUAGAGUGUCCCUGUGAUAGUUUUAGGUGUCAACUUGACAGGAUUGAGGGAUGCCUAGAUGGCUGGGGAAGCACUGUUUCUGAGAAGGACCAUGUUUUUGGAGGAGACUGUUUUAUGAGUGAAUUUCAGGGGACACAUUCAGAUCAUGGCAGUGGCAUUAUAAAGAGAGACACAAAAGCUUGCUCUCUCUCUCUGCCAUGUAAGACUACCACACAAAGACUGCCAUCUGCAAACCAGAAGCAGGUGGGCUUUCCUCAGACACCAGAUCUGCCUGCACCUUGAUCUUGGACUUGCCAGCCUUCAGAACUCUAAGAAAGAAAUGGUAGCAUGGCUUGGUCUAAGUUGGAAGGCCUGAGAAACAAGCACAUGGUGGAACUGAGUUCAAGGAUAAAGACUUGAGAAUACCUGCUCAGUGGACUGAGUAGGGAAGAUCAACCCUCAAUGUAGGCAGGCACUAUCCAAUCACCUGAGGGCCCAGAUGGAACAAAAAGGUGGAAGAAGGGUGAAUUCUCUCUUCCAGAGCUGUGACACCCUUCUCAUGCCCUUGUACCACACAACUCUAGGUCCUUUGGCCUUUGGACUCUGACACUUGCACCAGUGGCCCUCUGGGGCUCUCAAGCCUUUAGCCUUGAACUUAGUUACACCAUGUGCCUCCUUGUUUCUCAGGCCUUCCAACUUGGAUCAGGCCAUGCCACCGGCUUCUCUGAUUCUCCAGCUUGCAGAUGGUAUAUUGUGACCCUGGCAUUUAAUAACUAUGACUUUGGUCUUAAGCAAUUUUCUUCCUCUGUGGAUUGAUAUUUACAUAUCAAUGUGGAUAAUAAUUUCUUACCACGGUAACUGUUGUGAGGUAAAAAUGAGUUAACAUAAGUAAAACCGAGCACAUGCAAACCAUCCGAAAUGGUUAAUACUUACUAUUUGUACUUGAAGAAAUAAAUGUUUUUGACAAUAAACUUCUUGUGCAGUUUUCCUCA